rnacentral:rRNA from 1 species
GACGUAGGGCGCGAGCGUUGUCCGGAUUUAUUGGGCGUAAAGAGCUCGUAGGCGGCUUGUCGCGUCGAAUGUGAAAGCGCCCGGCUUAACCGGGACGAUGCGGUAGAUACGGGCAAGCUUGAGGGUGACAGAGGAGCGUAGAAUUCCGGGUGUAGUGGUGAUAUGCGUAGAUAUCGGGAGGAACACCAGUGGCGAAGGCGGCUCUCUGGGCCCUACCUGACGCUGAGACGCGAAAGCGUGGGGAGCGAACCGG